rnacentral:rRNA from 1 species
GUACUUUCAGCAGUGAGGAAGGUUCAUGCGUUAAUAGCGUAUGGAUUUGACGUUAGCUGCAGAAGAAGCACCGGCUAACUCCGUGCCAGCAGCCGCGGUAAUACGGAGGGUGCGAGCGUUAAUCGGAAUUACUGGGCGUAAAGCGCAUGCAGGUGGUUUGUUAAGUUCAGAUGUGAAAGACCCGGGGCGUCAACCUCGGAAUUGCAUUUGAAACUAGGCAGACUAGAGUACUGUAGAGGGGGGUAGGAAUUUCAGGUGUAGCGGUGAAAUGCGUAGAGAUCUGAAGGAAUACCGGUGGCGAAGGCGGCCCCCUCGGACAGAUACUGACACUCAGAUGCGAAAGCGUGGGGAGCAAACAGGAUUAGAUACCCUGGUAG